rnacentral:rRNA from 1 species
UACAGAGGGUGCAAGCGUUAAUCGGAAUUAUUGGGCGUAAAGGGCUUGUAGGUUGUUAUUUAAGUUAGAUGUGAAAGCCCUGGGCUCAACCUGGGACGUGCAUUUAAGACUGGAUGACUAGAGUAUAGUAGAGGAGAGGGGAAUUCCUGGUGUAGCAGUGAAAUGCGUAGAGAUCAGGAGGAACAUCAGUGGCGAAGGCGCCUCUCUGGACUAAUACUGACACUGAGGAGCGAAGGCGUGGGGAUCAAACAGG